rnacentral:rRNA from 1 species
UACGGAGGGUGCAAGCGUUAAUCGGAAUUACUGGGCGUAAAGCGUGCGUAGGCGGUUCGUUAAGUCUGUUGUGAAAGCCCCCGGGCUCAACCUGGGAAUGGCAAUGGAUACUGGCGAGCUAGAGUGUGUCAGAGGAUGGUGGAAUUCCCGGUGUAGCGGUGAAAUGCGUAGAGAUCGGGAGGAACAUCAGUGGCGAAGGCGGCCAUCUGGGGACAACACUGACGCUGAGGCACGAAAGCGUGGGGAGCAAACAGG